ensembl:misc_RNA Metazoa_SRP Metazoan signal recognition particle RNA
ACUGGGGUUGAUGACACACACCUGCAAUCCCUGCUGCUGGGGAGGCUGAGGUUGGUGGAUCAAUUGAAAUUUGGAGUUCUGUGCUAUAGUUGGGCUGAUGCCUAUACAGUGUAUGCAUUAAGUCUGGCACCAGUAUGAUGAGCACCUAGGAGUGGGGGACGACCAGGAUGCCUAAGAAGAGGUAAACUGGCCCAGGUCAGAAAUGCAGCAGGUCAAAACUUCUGCCUGAGUACUUAAUGCACUUCCAGCCUGGGUUAGAUAGGGAGAAUCUGUCUCCA